CCACUGACUCUCCCAGAGUUGUUCAAUGAAGCCUGAUUGAAAGUCCACUAGGCUUAGCGCAGCUGUCCGAAUGAACGGAGAGCCACAGGCUUGACAGGACCAACAGAUACUUCAUAAUCCCGAUGACCUCAUUAGAGUUUGCUACAUUUGCGGAGGAUUUGAGACGCGGUCAAAAUGUGGGCUUGAAAUGAAAUAAGCACACCAAGGACUGGAGCUAAACACGCGCCCUUUUUUGUUGCCUCCCCAGAACUCAGAAGUGACAGGAACCUGGUGCUGAAUACAUGAUUAUUGACUGACCAACUGCCAGCCUGGAACAAAACAGCUGUCUGCUCCUGCUUUGGAGCCUGCCCUGUCUUUUACUCCCUCCACACACACAAAAAAGAAUCCAUUUCUAAAUGUGAGCAGGAAAGCUGAAAGAAUAUGUCAAUGGUAUCGGAAAGCCAGAGCCAGACUUUGUCAGGAGUUGGAGCCACGUGCCAAGAGCAACAGGUCAACCAAUUUCCAGAAAGCCAAGAAAGGACUUUGCUAAUGAGAGAGUUUGGGCAGAGGCAACAGAACAUUUGACUAAAUCAGCUUCUGAAAUUAGAAUAAGAGACCAACAGAAACGAUGAGUAUAAGAUCAAAAAGGAGAUAAUGACUGCGUUCAGUAGAUCUGGAAAAUGGGGUGCCUGCUGCAGCCCUGGAGCUAGAAGCCCUUGUUUUCAAAAGGAUCUCUGGCAGACUCCAUUGGGGCAGGACAAUGAAGAAAAGCUCUGGAGGUUCAACCCACACCUGAACUGAAGAUAGAGUCAAAUAAAUACCUAAAGGAAAAAAUAAGUUUCA
rnacentral:lncRNA from 1 species